UUGCUUUGGCAGCACAUACACUAAAAUUGGAAAUGAUACCGAAGAGAUUAGCAUGGCUCCUGCGCAAGGAUGACAUGUAAAUUCAUGAAGCAUUCUGUAAUUUU
rnacentral:snRNA from 1 species